UGAGGAAUAUUGCGCAAUGGGCGAAAGCCUGAUGCAGCAACGCCGCGUGCGGGACGAAGGCCUUCGGGUCGUAAACCGCUUUUCUGGGGAAAGAGCAAGGACGGUACCUCAGGAAUAAGUCUCGGCUAACUACGUGCCAGCAGCCGCGGUAAAACGUAGGAGGCGAGCGUUAUCCGGAUUUACUGGGCGUAAAGCGCACGCAGGCGGCUCUGUGAGUCGGACGUGAAAGCUCUCGGCUUAACCGGGAGAGGCCGUUCGAUACUGCGGGGCUUGAGGUAGGGAGAGGAAUGCGGAAUUCCCGGUGUAGUGGUGGAAUGCGUGGAUAUCGGGAGGAACACCUGUGGCGAAAGCGGCAUUCUGGCCCUCACCUGACGCUGAGGUGCGAAAGCGUGGGUAGCAAACAG
rnacentral:rRNA from 1 species